CCCUCAUAGUGGCGCUCUCGCCAUCUUGCACCCCCUCCAGCCUAGCCCAGUCACCUUUUCCCUUUCCACAGUUUCUGUCCCCCCUAUUCCCCGCCCCCUGCCCAUCGUGUCCCGGGGCCGCCGCCGCCGCAGACACCGCGUCAUCUCUGUCCCCUCUCAUUCUCCACGCGGGACGCGCAGACGUGCUUCCACGUGUCCUUAAGCAGAGAUGAAUAAUACUGCAGCUAGCCCGAUGUCUACUGCCACUUCGAGUAGUGGAAGAAACACAGGGAAGGCUGUAAGCUUUGCUGCAGAACUGCAGAGCAUGAUGUUUUCUUUAGGGGAUGCUAGGAGGCCUCUCCAUGAAACAGCAGUUUUAGUAGAAGAUGUGGUUCACACACAACUAGUUAACUUGUUACAGCAAGCUGCAGAAGUCUCUCAACUGAGGGGAGCAAGGGUGAUCUCUGCUGAAGAUCUUCUGUUCUUGAUGAGAAAAGAUAAGAAAAAACUUAGAAGACUUCUAAAAUACAUGUUUAUCCGAGACUACAAAUCAAAGAUCAUCAAAGGCAUUGACGAGGACGACCUCCUGGAAGAAAAACUGAGUGGCAGCAGCAGUACAAACAAGAGACAGAAAAUAGCUCAGGACUUGAUCAACUCUAUUGACCAGACAGGAGAGCUUCUGGCCAUGUUUGAGGACAACGAACUUGAUGAUGUUAAACAGGAGAGAAUGGAGAGAGCAGAAAGACAGACUCGAACUAUGGAUUCAGCUCAAUAUGCGGAAUUCUGUGAAAGCCGGCAGCUAAGUUUCUCCAAAAAAGCUUCCAAAUUUCGAGAUUGGCUGGACUGUGGCAGCAUGGAGAUAAAGCCCAAUGUCAUAGCUAUGGAAAUUCUGGCAUACUUAGCGUAUGAAACAGUGGCACAGGUAGUGGAUCUGGCUCUUCUCGUGAGACAGGAUAUGGUAUCCAAGGCAGGGGACCCCUUCAGCCAUGCCAUUUCUGCAACCUUCAUUCAGUAUCAUAACUCGGCUGAGGGGUCCUGUUUGAAGUCCUGUCCAGACUCUCCUGAGAACACACCGCCUGCUACGCCAACAGCUCCCUCUUCUGGAUCUCAGCAUUCCGGGAGAGCCACAUCCGGAUCCCUGGGGAAUGGCAGUACAGGACAAGACUCUAGUAAAAGCAAGCAGAGAAAGAGGAAAAAGAGCACUGCGGCCUGUGGUGUUGAGGCUCACAGCGAUGCCAUCCAGCCCUGCCACAUCAGAGAAGCCAUUCGACGCUACGGCCACAAGAUUGGCCCUCUUUCCCCAUUCACAAGUGCCUACCGAAGGAGCGGGAUGGCUUUCCUGGCCUGCUGAGGGGACCGUGGCUGUGCCUGCUGCAACAAGAGAGGGAAUGGGACACCGAGGUCAUUCUUCCCUGUGCUGGAUGGAAAUAAAAUGUGGAUUUACCGUCUCCUGCCCUAGGGAGUGGCCUGCUUUGUUUUUGACUCUCCACUGUCUGACUCCAGCUCUUCCUGGGCCUCCUUAGCCUUGUUUACUGAGUGGGCCAUUUGCCUAAUUACUGGCAGGAUGUUGGGUGGUGUGUAGGUGGACAAGAACGCACAUCACACAAUUCUGAAUUCUGAAUUUGGCAUGGAUUUGCUGCCCUCAGCUCAUAAAUCUUAAAAGCAGAGUUGUGCUUUUUUUCCCUCCAGUGUUUAGUCUGCCUUUUAUAGGAUGCAUUUUUAUGAUUCAGAUUGGGACAAAAGAGACAAAUGAGUCAGUCUCCCUUCCCAGCGACCCACCAACUGUGCUUCCAUUGUUGACAGUCUCUGCGUGUGUUCUAGAGAUGCAGUCAUUUGAUGAACACGCACCCAUCAGAGUUUCACCUGGCAGGACAAAGUCACCUGUUCCCCUCUUCUCCUGUCACCCCACUCACGACAGGGGUCACUUUUUCAUGCCUCCUUCCUUCUGCUUCAUGGAACUCGCCUCAUCCAUCUUCGCUGCCUUACGUUUCCAGCUGAACCUCCCCCGAACCCCCACCACCACACACACAAAGCUUCCAUGCCUUUUCAGAAGCAAAGUCAAAAGGAAGAGCACAGGGAUUCUGGGAUUCACCUAACCCUUCAGAGCUCUCCCCCUGGCCUGGAAUCCGGUGAAUACACUGCCUGCUGGGAGCAGCUGAGCUGCCCCAGUGGCGUCUGUUCUGUCUCCAGUAAACGAGGAAAUAGAACUCUUGGGAACAACCCAAAAUCUAGCAGAUGCGAUGGUACAGUUCCUGAUUAAAUACGAAUUGCGGAGGAGGAAGUUAAGUCUUUAAUUCUGUAAGAGUUUCGGGUGGAAGAGAGAAAUAAGAGCAGCCGUUUUCUGGCCAGAGGGAAAUGCUUUCCCACGUUGCUGGUCCUGACCGUGUCCUGUCACUACGUUCUGAUGAUGGAGCAGCCGGGGAAACCGGAGCUUGGGCUUGGACCUUCUGGGGUGGAAAAAGCAAAGGAGAGGAGGUCUACAAUGACACAAGCUAAUGCAUAUAGGAACUGCAUUCACAUUUAAAGUCCAUUCAGUCUUUGCCACAGCUUCAGCAGAAUGAUGUCACCAUUCCUGUUUUCUAGAUGGAAACGUAAGGUGCGGAGUGGGUUAGGGCCACACAGACGGAGUCCUGGGGACACACAGAGAUCCACAGCUUCCAGACAGAAGUGGGACUUUAGGAGCAGCCUGAAUGUGUCAAAAAACGGUUUCCCCAGGGCCUGUGCAGAUAGAUAAUUCAGUAAAGUGCUUACCAUGCAAGCAUGAGAAGCUGGGUU